rnacentral:lncRNA from 1 species
AGAUAUUCAGAGCUUUAAUGACUUAAACAUUUAGCCUCCGUUUGGUUCGGGGUUAAGGAAAAAGUAGCUAUUCCAGGGAUAGAGUUAAGUUCAGGGUUAAAGUGGGGUUAAAGUUUUUUUGUGUUUGGUUGGGGGUUGGAGUUAGUCUAGAAUAAUGAAAAAUAGUGUUUGGUUGGAGUAGGUGGAAUAAGAAAAUAAUGAUUGAUAAAGAAGAAUAAUGAUUGGUUGGAGUAGGUGUGAUAAGAAAGAUAGUGGGUUAUUAUGAAUAGAAAAAAGUGUUUGGUUGGAGUUUGGUGGGAUUAGAUGGGGUUAGCUAAUCCGGAAUAAUUUAUUUGAGGUGGGGUUAGGUGGGGUUAGCUAACCCCACCUAUUUUUUGGGAUGUUUGGGGAUAAAAUCGGGGUUAAGGGGUUAUUCCACCCCUUAACCCCCAACCAAACAAGGGCUUAGGUCCUGUUUGGAUGUGUAAAUAUUUUAUUCAGUAUAUUUUCAUAAUUUACUUAAGAUGUUUAUAUAUUUAGCAAAUAGAAAGUAUAAUUAAAUAUUUAUAAUUGAAUAUUAUAUUCAGCUUUCAAAUUAUGUUUUUGGAUAAGAUGAACCACCUUAUAAGUAAAAUAUAUUAUCAUAUCAAAUCAUAAAUAUCAAAACAUCUCAAUAAACUGAUCGAAUGUCCUUGACGCAAGUACUAAAGGGUUUGGUGGUUGAUACCCGAAGUCCCAAUUGUUCGAAUCCUAGUUGAUUCACAUAUCCAACUAAGUUUAUUUCUAAAAAGAACUCACACAGCAUACGAGCGUAGCGGAAAUAUGAUCUUUUGUAAACGUAAGAGACGAAAAUGAUCACAGAAAAUAAAUACGAGGAUAGCAAAGCAAUAACGAAAAUAAGAGAGUACAAAAACACAAGAUUUAUAUGGUUCGGUCAACCAUGAGUCGACCUCCGUUCAUGGGCAAGAUCAUCUCAAUACUUUUUUCGAUUAAUUCACGACACAAAAAUACAAAGAAGUAGGUUGGAUUACAAGAAACUCUCUCUUAGGAGCUCUUCACGUUUUUCUCAACGAAGCGAAUAAUAUGCUACCUAUCUCUCUGUCAAGUAAAAAAGAGAAAAACAUCUCAACUA